rnacentral:rRNA from 1 species
GACGAACGCUGGCGGCGUGCCUAAUACAUGCAGGUCGAGCGAAGUUUUUCUGGUGCUUGCACUAGAAAAACUUAGCGGCGAACGGGUGAGUAACACGUAAAGAACCUGCCUCAUAGACUGGGACAACUAUUAGAAACGAUAGCUAAUACCGGAUAACAGUAUUUCUCGCAUGAGAGAUAUUUAAAAGUUGGUUAUGCUAACACUAUGAGAUGGCUUUGCGGUGCAUUAGCUAGUUGGUGGGGUAAAGGCCCACCAAGGCGACGAUGCAUAGCCGACCUGAGAGGGUGAUCGGCCACACUGGGACUGAGACACGGCCCAGACUCCUACGGGAGGCAGCAGUAGGGAAUCUUCCGCAAUGGGCGAAAGCCUGACGGAGCAACGCCGCGUGAGUGAAGAAGGAUUUCGGUUCGUAAAGCUCUGUUGUUAGGGAAGAAAUGGAUAUGUAG